GCGGCACCAAUACUGAAUAAAAGAGAUGAAGCCUUCUCAAUAACUGUUCCAGUAUAGAAUGGUUUAUCGACUUACGAUGUCAUAAAAAUUUGGGUGCGAGUGUCCAUCAGGAAAAUUUCGAUCGAAGUACAGAAUUUUCUAGAAUCCGAGUACGAUAAUGUUUUUAUCAGCUGAUUGUAGAGGAGGAGUUUUGUCAGUGUUAGAUGGGUACUAACGUCAUCUUGUGGCUGCAUCCCUUUUGUUUGGCAGGGGUACAAGAGAACCAUGCAGUAACACAGAUAAAAGAUGCAGUUCCUAAGAGAUCCAAAGUCGCAGCUGCUAAGGCUAUACUGACUGAAUUAUCAACAUCCAAAACAAAUUGAUACAAAUCAAAUACAGUACUGUGUGACAGUGGGAAGAUAGAAUUUAAAAAAUGGACAUAACACAAUAUUACUGCAUCAGAGAUCAAUCCAGGUUUACUUAUAAUUUGAAGAAAAACAGUCAAGCAUCAUUUGGAGCUACAUAUGUCACUGCCUUAACAAUAUGCCGGCUUAUAUAACCAAGCAAGCACAGUGACCAGUUGUACCUAUGAUGUUGGAAGAGAUCCUAAAAACCUUCCAGUACACUCAUCACUACCUGCAAAGAAAUAAAAAUUCAAAUGACUUGUAUCAACAUUUGUGUACAUUUGUACUACAUCUGGCUUGUAUUUUCAGUAA